rnacentral:misc_RNA from 1 species
ACCAUCUUCUAACACACAUUUCAGUCGCUGUCCGAUCGCGCUUAGUGGCACGUCCCGAGCUCUGUGUUUGUGUACGAUGCGAAAUUGUUCGCUCUUCGCGGGAUUCGCUUUUUUGAGGAAAUAAGAAAACUUUUCGCUUUUGGGGAUUUUAAAUAGCGUGUGACGAAACAAUUUUGUUAAAAGUUGUUUGUUUUUAUUGUGUUGGUGAUAAAAUAGCGUGUUUGAAUCGCUUGUGAUUGUGCAAUUUUUGAUGAUCUGAAGAUCGUGGGAUCGAUUCUCGCUUCGCGAUCGUCGAUCGUUCGCUCACUCGAUCGUGCGAAGAAUGAGAGAGGAGUGAAAGCAGACGAAGAGCCUCUUGAUUAAAGGCAAAACAUUGAUAACAAGUGAAUUUGUGUGUGUGCUUGUCGGAGCAUGCAUUCUACGCUUGUCGUAACCAAAGUGGAUCCUUAACAUUGCAUUGCGUGUUGUGUUUGUGGUUGUAGUGGUCCCUUUAGUCAAAGUUUGAAAAGGGGUUAAAACAAUCUGCGCCAAUUGGGAUUCAAUUGUGCAAACUGUGAAAUGUGUAAGUAAUAAAAUAAAAAGUGACAGACGUGCUGAUUGUACUAAUUUGGUUAUUGUUUUCGCGUAAGUCUGUGUGUUUGUGUGCGCAAUAAAUUAACACGGCAACUUAAGGUGAAACGAAGCCGGAGGCACUUCCAUGACAAAUCUAUCCAUUUUUUGACGCCCGGUUCGAAUUGAAAUUUGGGCGUUGUGCCGAGCGGUUUGUGACCUAUAUUGUGUGACGAAAGAUGAAAUAGCAGAGCAGUUUGUAUUUUGUUGUUGUUGGUGAUUUUUUUUCGAAAACCCAGAAAAUAAAGAAGCCGCCAAAAAGGAGUGCACGGCGCGAAACAAAACGCCGCUCUUCCAAGUCGAAAAAGGAAAACAAAAAUAAAUUUUAAAAUUCAAAAAAGUGGUCAUUCGUGCCCAAGGAAUAAUAAUCACCGGAGAAGCGGAGUCGAGUGGAGAAAAACAGUGGAUCGGCAACACGCACAAAAAUUGUAGUGGGCCUUGCCUAUCUUGUUUCCAGGAAGUGUCGGAUCCCUGCGACGAGCCCCACCUCGCGCCGCCGAGAACUGCUAUAUCAUCCUUCGCAUCAUCUUCUCGAGCGCGAUCUUCCGUGCCGCGGGCCCAGUAGCUCACCAACGGUUCUGAAGCUCGGUUGCUGCUGCCGCUAGUCGACGUCGGAGUUUAGCCGUCGAAGUAGCCGCUCUACGGAGCGAGUCCCGGAAGAUCCGCAGAAUCCGCGUUUGAACUUAAUCGCGAAAUCCAUUUGGCCAGCUGGUGAAGAUCGUGAUCGUGUGUGUCGCGUUGUCGAAGUUCACUUUCGAUUUCCGUUGCGGGCUGAAUAGCUACACGCGGCACUUCGACAAGCCUGCUCGUGACGUGCUGUCGCCCAACCACGUGAAAGAGAAAGAAGUGUAUCGUGAGAGCUGGUGGAGUCUGCAAGUCUCAGUCCCUCGGCAUUUUUUUGUGUUUGUUUGUUGUUUAUUUAUUUCCCACAACACCGGGGAGAUAACCAAAGUGAAAGAGAGAGUGGAAUGAAUUUAAUGAGCAACCUGGCCGCCACCGUCAUCAUCAGGGAAGAAAGCAAAAGUGUUUAACCUUGAAAUGAUAGCUUCGUGACCGGGCAGAAACGUCAGCGGUGUGCAGAAUCGGUAAGGGCAACCCCUUUGGUGGAAGAAAACCUCAAGAGCCGAAGGAAAAGUGAAACGCAAAAAUCGCGACACGAAAUCGAAGAUCUGCGAAGAAUUCAAGAAGACAACCAAGCCAAACAAAAGAAUAGAAGAGUGAGUGGGGUACCUGAGUAGGAUACUUCCUGGAAGAUUUGAUUAAUUCAGUGUGAUUAGUGUUUUUUGUUGUGCAAGUAGCAAUUUCAUGUUUUCUGUGCAUUGUGUGUAAAAUUUACAUUUUCUUAUUGGAACGCGCAUCCUGAGGAUCAAGUUCAGAACUCGCAGUCCCCUGCUGUGGUAUUCUCAUCGGGACAAAGGAAGUCACUGUGCACCACUAAAUAAUACAGCUGGAACGAUGCAUUGAGCGUACUCUUUGCUACAGAUUCGUCUGGGGCAGUAGAUGAAAAGCAUAGCAUAGCAUUGGUGUCUACCCGUAGCUGCUACUUCGUUAU